rnacentral:rRNA from 1 species
GACAUAGGUGGCGAACGUUAUCCGGAAUUAUUGGGCGUAAAGGGUGCGUAGAUGGUCUGAUAAGUUGCCGGUGGCAAAUCGAGGCUCAACCUCGUGGAAGCUAGUAAUACUGUUAGACUAAGAGUUCAGGAGAGGUUAACGGAAUUCCCUGUGGAGCGGUAAAAUGCGUAGAGAUAGGGAGGAACAUCAAUAACGGCGAAGGCAGUUAACUAUUCUGUUACUGACAUUGAGGCACGAAAGCGUGGGGAGCAAAACGG